rnacentral:rRNA from 1 species
ACUCAAAGGAAUUGACGGGGGCCCGCACAAGCGGUGGAGCAUGUGCUUUAAUUCGAUGCAACGCGAAGAACCUUACCAAGGCUUGACAUGGGGGUGAAAUCUCUAAGAAGUUAGAGACCUUCCGCAAGGAACACCCUACACAGGUGCUGCAUGGUUGUCGUCAGCUCGUGUCGUGAGAUGUUGGGUUAAGUCCCGCAACGAGCGCAACCCUCGCCCUUAGUUGCUAACAGGUUAUGCUGAGAACUCUAAGGGGACUGCCUAGUUUAACUAGGAGGAAGGUGGGGAUGACGUCAAAUCCUCAUGGCCCUUACGCCUUGGGCUAGACACGUGCUACAAUGGCCGGUACAACGGGACGCAAGACGGUGACGUUAAGCAAAUCCCAAAAAACCGGUCUCAGUUCGGAUUGGAGUCUGCAAUUCGACUCCAUGAAGCUGGAAUCGCUAGUAAUCGCGGAUCAGCAUGCCGCGGUGAAUACGUUCCCGGGCCUUGUACACACCGCCCGU